rnacentral:sRNA from 1 species
GGAGGGGGUGAUUAGUGACAGAGUGAGGGAGGGGGUGACUAGUGACAGAGUGAGGGAGCGGGUGACACAGUGACAGAGUUAGGGAGGGAGUGACUAGUGACAGUCACCCCCUCCCUCCCUCUGUCACUAGUCACUCCCUCCGUCACUAGUCACUCCCUCACUCCGUCACCAGUCAUCCCCUCACUCCGUCACCAGUCACCCCUUCCCUCCCUCACUCUGCCACUAGUCAUCUUUUCCCUCC